ensembl:lncRNA
CCAACAGUGGCAAGCUACCAGUCAUUACGCAGGAUAAAUAUUGUGACCUUCCUUUAAAGAAGGCCAAUCAGACGUCUCCAGCGCCCGGCGGCCCUCACUGGUGUGCGUUUGUGUUGGGGGGGGUCCUGGAUUGAACACUAUGGCUUCACGUCUUCAUACGUAGAGAUACAUUUUGGCGAAACACGCUUUCAUCUCAAGUGCUCUCCCGCGAUUCUACUCCUGACCUACCACCGCUCCGGCCUGCUCUCUGAUCCCUGCCUGUCUGACUAUUCUGCCGGUUCCUGAUCCCCGCCUGUCUGACUACUCUCCCGGUUCCUGAUCCCCGCCUGUCUGACUCCUCUGCCGGUUCCUGAUCCCCGCCUGUCUGACUACUCUCCCGGUUCCUGAUCCCCGCCUGUCUGACUAUUCUGCCGGUUCCUGAUUCCUGCCUGUCUGACUAUCCUGCUUGCCGAUCUAGAACCCAAAUAAACUAUUGACUCUGUUGAGUCUGUGCACGGGCUUGUUACAGAAACAUUAUCCCAGACAACAACAAACCUGGGCUGCUCUGGUCUGUCCUGGGGGGGGGGAC